rnacentral:lncRNA from 1 species
ACAGAAGUUUAUUCCGAAAUGUCUCAACUUGGAAGCAACUAAGGUGUCCUUAACUAGAUGAAUGGAUUAACAAACUGUGGUAUGUUUAGACAGUGGAAUAUUAUUCAGCUAAAAAGAAAUGAGGAGUUCCUGUUGUGGCUCAGCGGUUAACGAACCUGACUAGCAUCCAUGAAGAUGCCGGUUUGAUCCCUGACAGUGGGUUAAGGAUCUGGCGUUGCCUUGACCCGUGGUGUAGGUCGCAGACUCAGCUCAGAUCUUGUGUUGCUGUGGCUGUGGUGUAAGCUGGCAGCUGUAGCCUGGAUUGGACCCCUAGCCUAGGAAUCUCCAUAUGCUGUGGGUAUGACCCCAAAAAGACAAAAUAAAAAAUAAAAAAUGAGGAGUUCCCAUCGUGGCGCAGUGGUUAACGAAUCCGACUAGGAACCAUGAGGUCGCGGGUUCGGUCCCUGCCCUUGCUCAGUGGGUUAAGGAUCCGGCGUUGCCGUGAGCUGUGGUGUAGGCUGCAGACGCGGCUCGGAUCCCGCGUUGCUGUGGCUUUGGUGUAGGCCGGUGGCUACAGCUCCGAUUAGACCCCUAGCCUGGGAACCUCCAUAUGCCGCGGGAGCGGCCCAAGAAAUAACUAAAAAGACAAAAAAAAAUAAAAAUAAAAAUAAAAAAUGAAAAGAAAUGAACUAUCAAGCCAGGAAAAGACAUGGAGGAAACCUAAAUCUAUAUUACUAAGUGGAAGAGGCCGAUCUAAAAAGGCUGCACACUGGAUGACUGCUACUAUAUGACAUUCUAGAGAAGGCAAAACUAUGAAGACCAUAAAAAGAUCAGUGGUUGCCUGGGGUUAGGGAGGAGGGAAGAAUGAAUAAGAAGAGCACAGAUUUGUAGUGCAGUUAAAAAUAAUUCUGUAUGAUAACAUAAAUGUGGAUACAUGUCAUUAUACAUUUGUCCAGAUCCAUAGAAUGUAUAACACCAAUUGCGGAUCCUAGUGUAAACUAUGGAUUUGGGGUGAUAAUGAUGUGUAAGUGUAGGUUAGGUUCAUUGAUUGUAGCAUAUGUAGCACUCUGAUGCAGGAUGCUAAUAGGGUAGGAUGUUGAUAGCGGGAAAGGCUGUGUUGGAGGAAUAACAGAUACAUGGCAACUCUCAGUAAUUCAUACUCAAUUUUGCUGUGAAUCUAAGACUUCUCUAAAAAAAUUCUAUUAAAAAUAGUAUAUAUAGAAGUUCCCUGGUGGCUUAGUGGGUUAAGGAUCCAGCAUUGUUACUGCUGUGGCACAGGUUCAAUCCCUAGCCUGGGAACUUUCCCAUGCCGAGGCUGUGGCCCCAAAAGAUAAACAAACAGGGAGUUCCCCUCAUGGCUCAGUAGUUAACAAACCCAACUCGGAUCCAUGAGGGUGCAGGUUUGAUCCUCAGCCUUGCUCAGUGAGUUAAGGAUCCAGUGUUGCUGUGAGCUGUGGGAUAGGCCAGCAGCUGUAGCUCUGACUCGACCCCAAGCCUGGAAACUUCCAUAUGCUGCAGGUGCGGCCCUAAAAAGCAAAAAAAAAAAAAAGAGAUAAACAAACAAAUGCAUAAACAAAAAAUCUUAAAAAGCUACUAUGAAAUUCUUAGGAAAUAAAAUAAAUACUACAAUAGACAAAUGAACAGAAAGACAACUAACAGAAUACAACUAAAGAUAAAAGACAACUAAUAGUAAAAAUUGAAUGAUACUGAUCCCCAGUAGUAAUCAAAUAAACAAAUUUAAAAUAAAUAGAUAACAUUAAGAAUGGCAGACUUAUUUUCCCAAGAUGAUGCCAAAUAUGGGCACGGGUAUAUGAAAAAAUACCUUCUCCUCCGUUGUUGGGGAUGGAAUAAAUUGGCAAUUUUCUGGAGUCUGUACUUAUCAAAAAUCCUUUUUUUUUUUUUUCUUUUUUGGCGGCACCUGUGGCAUGCAAAAGUUCCUCAUCCAGUGAUCAAAGUUGUGCCACAGCAGUGACAAUGCCAAGUCCUUAACCACUAGGCCACAAGAGAACUCUGUAUUUAUUCAAAAAUCUUGAAAAUGCACUUCAAGACUUCUGCUUCUCAACAUCAUCCUUAAGGUGAAAUGAUUGAUUUCCCUCUAAGAUCAGGAACAGGGUAAAGAUGUCCACUCAUACCAUUUCUCCUUAACAGUGUGCCAGAGGCUCUAGUUAGUACAGUAAGGCAAGAAAAAGAAAAGUAUCCAGAUAGGAUAGGAAGAAGUAAAGCUGUCUUUAUUUGCAGAAAAUAUGAUCAUCUAUGUAGAAAAUUCUAUAGAAUCUAUCAAAAAAAUCUACUAGAACUAAUGAGUUUAGCAAAGUUGUUGGGUAUAAGACAUAAAUUUUUAUUAUAUUUUUAUAUAUAAGAUGAAUUUAUUUUUAUCAAUAUUUUGCUUUUGCUUUAUAGCACCACACGUGUGGCAUGUGGAAGUUCCCAGUUUAUUUUUAUUUUUAUUUAUUUUUUGUCUUUUUUUGCUAUUUCUU